CCCUCGGUCCUUACAGUGCAGCAGCUGCUUUGGAGUCAUCCCUGCUCCCUAUUUAGAAACAUAGCAGACUACCUGUACCUUUCCAUCUCUCAGAGUUCAGAGACAAGCAGGUACCAGCUGCCAACUAGCAGAUGGAAGGGCCUGGCGCCUCCUGCUACCUGAAAAUAGAAAUCUAGGGCAAGGCCGACUGUGCGUGUGGCUGAGUCAGCAAAGUGCUCCACUGCGAGGACAAUCUUGGCUGAGAUCUGGCCAGGACCCCAUAGGGCGGAGGCGCCUGAUGGCACUCAGUGAUGGUCCCUGGCGCUGCUGCUGAGAGGCCUCAGCGCCCCCACCUCUUCCGGCCGUCCAGCCCGCCUUUUCCUGUAGGAUGUGGCUGCGAUGCGCGCCCUGCGCCUGGGCUGCUAAAGGAUCAAAGACUUGAGUGGGCCGCGCGGCCUCGCCCUGCCAAGGGGGAGCAACUUGUCUAGAGACGCCUGACAGCUUGACAGGCGUGCGGGAGCGCAGUUUGGGAGCCGCCAGGGGGGCACCCUGCCUCGCGGCACUCCCGUCCGUUGCCUCUAGAUGGCAGGCUUCGAAAUCCCUAAUUGUAAACGCCUUUCGGGCAGCCCUUAACUCCACGUCCAUUGCGAGCGCUCACAGGCGUCGGCCAUGACAGUUACAUCCGGGUAUGAUGCCUAGCCACGGCCUGAGGCUCCGGAAGUGACGUGACGCGGAAGGAUACGCGCUCGACCGAGGGCAGCUGAGGUGAAGAGGCCUCCGGAAGUGGGUGCAAUCGGACUCUGCUGAUGGGACCCCGGCAGUAGGAGGAGCGUGGCCCAUUACACAAGGCCAGUCACUGAGCUCAAAGCCAACCAUGCUGUGCCUUGUUCAACAAUCGGAGAGACAGAAGCUGUUAUUUUUAUUUCAUAUGUAUUGAGAAACUAAGACCGAGUGAGGGCCAGGGACUUCUCUAAGCCCAUAACCAGGAGUAUUUGACCUAAACUGAAUUCUGUGUUCUUCGUGAUGACUCUCUUUUUGGAAAAAUUAAAUUCCUACCCCUUGUCAUCAUAGAUUGUUGCCUCUGCAAGCCUUUCUUAAGCAUAGUAGCCCAAGCAGUGGUACCUCGACACACCCGUGAUUUUAAUCAAAUAUCAAAUUUUUUAUUCCGGCUUCAUUGGGGGAUAUAGCAUUUUCCUGUACUGGGGAACAAACCUUGGGAAACUGUAGUUUUAAGCAAUUUAUUUCAGACUCAGCACAAUAAAACUUUUGUCUUCUAUCAGC
ensembl:lincRNA